AGUAACACGUGGACAACCUGCCUCAAGGCUGGGGAUAACAUUUGGAAACAGAUGCUAAUACCGAAUAAAACUUAGUGUCGCAUGACAAAAAGUUAAAAGGCGCUUCGGCGUCACCUAGAGAUGGAUCCGCGGUGCAUUAGUUAGUUGGUGGGGUAAAGGCCUACCAAGACAAUGAUGCAUAGCCGAGUUGAGAGACUGAUCGGCCACAUUGGGACUGAGACACGGCCCAAACUCCUACGGGAGGCUGCAGUAGGGAAUCUUCCACAAUGGGCGAAAGCCUGAUGGAGCAACGCCGCGUGUGUGAUGAAGGCUUUCGGGUCGUAAAGCACUGUUGUAUGGGAAGAACAGCUAGAAUAGGAAAUGAUUUUAGUUUGACGGUACCAUACCAGAAAGGGACGGCUAAAUACGUGCCAGCAGCCGCGGUAAUACGUAUGUCCCGAGCGUUAUCCGGAUUUAUUGGGCGUAAAGCGAGCGCAGACGGUUUAUUAAGUCUGAUGUGAAAGCCCGGAGCUCAACUCCGGAAUGGCAUUGGAAACUGGUUAACUUGAGUGCAGUAGAGGUAAGUGGAACUCCAUGUGUAGCGGUGGAAUGCGUAGAUAUAUGGAAGAACACCAGUGGCGAAGGCGGCUUACUGGACUGCAACUGACGUUGAGGCUCGAAAGUGUGGGUAGCAAACAGGAUUAGAUACCCUGGUAGUCCACACCGUAAACGAUGAACACUAGGUGUUAGGAGGUUUCCGCCUCUUAGUGCCGAAGCUAACGCAUUAAGUGUUCCGCCUGGGGAGUACGACCGCAAGGUUGAAACUCAAAGGAAUUGACGGGGACCCGCACAAGCGGUGGAGCAUGUGGUUUAAUUCGAAGCAACGCGAAGAACCUUACCAGGUCUUGACAUCCUUUGAAGCUUUUAGAGAUAGAAGUGUUCUCUUCGGAGACAAAGUGACAGGUGGUGCAUGGUCGUCGUCAGCUCGUGUCGUGAGAUGUUGGGU
rnacentral:rRNA from 1 species